UACGUAGGGUGCGAGCGUUAAUCGGAAUUACUGGGCGUAAAGCGUGCGCAGGCGGUUCGUUAAGUCAGCUGUGAAAGCCCCGGGCUCAACCUGGGAAUUGCGGUUGAAACUGGCGAACUAGAAUCUGGCAGAGGGGGGUGGAAUUCCACGUGUAGCAGUGAAAUGCGUAGAGAUGUGGAGGAACACCGAUGGCGAAGGCAGCCCCCUGGGCUAACACUGACGCUCAGGCACGAAAGCGUGGGGAGCAAACAGG
rnacentral:rRNA from 1 species